rnacentral:lncRNA from 1 species
AUGUUCCACUAUACAGAUGGAAGGGCAGCAGUCUACCAGUGUAGCUCUGAUUCUCUUUGCUACCCAAGACAAAACUUCAAGAGGUCUGAACUAAUGAAGACACCCAAGCCAGUAGCAUUUCUAGCACUCCUUGAAAACUGAGACUUCACAUGCAAAAAAUACUACUCAAUUUGGACAAAGUUAAGACAUUAUUUAUGCUCUCCAAAGAGUCAAUUUUGGGGUUCAUCUCCAGUAAUGCCUUUUGGUCUUUGGAAUGGUAAAUAAAUCCACUGCCAUCCUGUAUCCCUAAGAGUCUCUGGACUUUUAUUUCACUUUCUUGGGAUCUGUAACAUCUUUCUGAAUUUUGCUUAUCAACAAUUGGAAGAAAUGUAUAUCAUGGGUUAUUUUGUCCAAUAACACAGAUUUGCUGAGCUUUUAUUUAUUUAUGUUUUUGUAGUGGGUAGGAAAUAACUUGUACCACAUCAAAAGUGAGUGUAGCUUAUAUUUAAUAACCAUCAAUUACCAAAGAAAGUUCUGGUAGUUUGCUCAACUUUAGUUUUGUUUUCUUCCUAGCAUUUGAGAAUUGUUGUAUAGAACCAAUUCGUAAGUGCAGGAGAAAAGGGCCACUUUGGUAUAUUACUGACGUUGA